CUAGCGUAAAAUAUUACUGCUGCGGUUAAAAAGCUCGUAGUUGAAUCUAGUCGUGUCCGUAGGGUUUGUCGUUGGCGUUUAUUCGUCUCUGGCGUUAAUCCUCGGCCGAUUUUUGCUGGUUUACUGUUGGUCUUCGGAUCUUCGGUGGCUAGCGAGUUACUUUGAUCAAAUCAGAGUGCUCAAAACAGGCGAAAGCUUGUAUGAUUUCUCGAGGAAUAACAGAAGAGGACUUCGGUUCUAUUUGUUGGUUCCAGAAUCGUUUAAUGGUUAAGAGGGACAAUUCGGGGGCAAACGUAUCCUCGCGCGAGGGGUGAAAUCCUUGGACCGCAGCGAGACGACCUAUUG
rnacentral:rRNA from 1 species